rnacentral:rRNA from 1 species
GAUGAACGCUGGCGGCGUGCCUAAUACAUGCAAGUCGAGCGAAACGACGAGGAGCUUGCUCCUCUGACGUUAGAGGCGGACGGGAGAGUCACAUGUGUAUAACCUAACUAUCAGACUGGGAUAACUUUGGGAAACAGGAGCUUAUACCGGAUAAUUUAUUGAACCGCAUGGUUCACUAGUGAAAUUCGGUUUUGCUGUCACUAAUAGACGGCUCAGCGCAGCAUGAGUUAGUUGGUAAGGUAACGGCUUACCAAGGCAACGAUGCGUAGCCGACCUGAGAGGGAGGUCGGCUACACGGGAACUGAGACACGUUCCAGACACCUGCGGGAGGCAGCAGUAGGGAAUCGUCCGCAAUGGGCGAGAGCCGGACGGAGCAACGCCGGGUGAGUGAUGAAGGUCUUCUGAUCGUAAAACUCUGUUAUUAGGGAAGAACAAAUGUGUAAGUAACUAUGCACGUCUUGACGGUACCUGGUCAGAAAGCCACGGCUAACUACGUG